rnacentral:lncRNA from 1 species
GCACUAAAACCUAUAUUUUCAAACAAUACCACAGGCAAAGAAAGACUCAGGAAAUGCCGAUUAAAGAGCUGAUCCAGGGAAGACAGCCAUCACUUCAACAACGAUGCCCUCCAUGGAGGGCUGAUUCUAGGGAAGACUGAGCGAUCACUCCAAGAGUGAUGCCAUCUAUGGAGGGCUGAUUCUAGGGAAGACUGAGCGAUCACUCCAAGAGCGAUGCCAUUCAUGGAGGGCUGAUCCAGGGAAGACUGAGCAAGCAAUCACUCCAAGAGCGAUGCCAUCCAUGGAGGGCUGAUUCUAGGGAAGACUGAGCGAUCACUCCAAGAGCGAUACCAUCCAUGGAGGGUUGAUUCUAGGGAAGACUGAGCGAUCACUCCAAGAGCGAUGCCAUCCAUGGAGGGCUGAUUCUAGGGAAGAC